rnacentral:lncRNA from 1 species
GUUCUUUGUGCUACUUUUAUUCCUUUUGGAAACAUCACAGAUAUUCUGAUUCUGCUGUAUUAUGAAACAGAAAAGCACCAAGGAUUCUCUUUUGUUGAAUUUGAGUUGGCAGAGGUAAGCUGAGUUGUAUUUCAGUCUUUUCAGAAUGAAUCUGAGCUCUUUGGGUGGACAAUUUCUGUCAAUUUGGCCAAACCAAUGAGAGUUAAGGAAGGCUUUUCCAGACCAGUUUGGUCAGAUGAAGACUGGGUGGAGAAGUUUGCUGGGAAGAGGAUAAAGAGGAAGGUGGUUGAGACUUCCCAAAGCAGAAAGCCAGGAGGGAGAGCCCACUGCUAAAAAAGGCCUAGUCAAAUCCUCAGGUGUACAUGGACAUCAAGAUUGGGAACAAGCCGGCUGGCUGCAUCCAAACCCUCCUGCGUUCCGACGUCGUGCCCAUGACCACAGAGAAUUUUCUCUACAUGUGCACCCAUUUAAAGGACUCGGCUUCAAGGGAAGCAGCUUCCACCGCAUUAUCCCCCAGUUCAUUUGCCAGGGCAGUGAUUUCACAAACCACGGUGGCACCAGGGGUAAGUCCAUCUACAAGAAGAAAUUUGAUGAUGAAAACUUUAUCUUCAAACACACAGGACCAGAUUGUGAGCUCCACCACUGUUAGGGCCAGUGUCCCCAGGGGGCAGGUAGGGGUGGAUGUCCCUAAAGUCUGUCUUUAUUCUGCUCCUUCACUCCCCUGAGUGUCCCCUCUUCUAUUCUGUCUGCAAAGGCAAGGAUGGGAAGCCAAGGCAGAAGGUGAUCAUUGGCAACUGUGGGGAGUAUGUGUGA